CAAAGCUCCCCCUGCCGAGAGCGGCCCUUUAACGCCCCGGCGCAUCAAGCUGAUGAAGAAUUACUGACUACUUUCCAAGAAGAGGAGCAUUUGCAAUGCUGAUGAUAACUCCAGAAGAGCAAUUUUACUGCAGGCAGCGUUGACUGGGGUCUUAUUCCCUGUUACUGUGCUAAAAGCAAGCUGAUAGCCUGAAGCUAUGCUAUUCUGGGGAAUGAAAGAACUUGCAUUUCAAGCCAACAUCAUUCUGGUCUGAAUUUGUCUUCACUUCCUGGUGUUAUGGGCUUUUCCAUGAGAUAAGAGGCGUCUUCCAGCUCUCUGACAACAGAGGCGCACAGAGGCUUGCACAACAGUUCACUUUUGGAAGACACUGUGUGGGUGCCGGCAUGCUCAGCGCAUCAGUGUCUUCCACAGCACAUUCUGUUUCCCCUGAUCAGGAGCUCCAUUUUGGCAGGCAGAGUCACCACCAUAACCCUUGCUGCUUGUCUUACUGUGCCACGAUGUCCCCUUUCCCAGCACACUCACUGU
ensembl:lncRNA